AGAGUUUGAUCCUGGCUCAGAGCGAACGCUGGCGGCAGGCUUAACACAUGCAAGUCGAGCGGGCACUUCGGUGUCAGCGGCAGACGGGUGAGUAACACGUGGGAACGUGCCUUUUGGUUCGGGACAACUCCGGGAAACUGGAGCUAAUACCGGAUAAGCCCUUUGGGGGAAAGAUUUAUCGCCAAAAGAUCGGCCCGCGUCUGAUUAGCUAGUUGGUGGGGUAAUGGCCUACCAAGGCGACGAUCAGUAGCUGGUCUGAGAGGAUGAUCAGCCACACUGGGACUGAGACACGGCCCAGACUCCUACGGGAGGCAGCAGUGGGGAAUAUUGGACAAUGGGCGCAAGCCUGAUCCAGCCAUGCCGCGUGAGUGAUGAAGGCCCUAGGGUUGUAAAGCUCUUUUGUCCGGGAAGAUAAUGACUGUACCGGAAGAAUAAGCCCCGGCUAACUUCGUGCCAGCAGCCGCGGUAAUACGAAGGGGGCUAGCGUUGCUCGGAAUCACUGGGCGUAAAGGGCGCGUAGGCGGAUCUUUAAGUCGGGGGUGAAAGCCCAGGGCUCAACCCUGGAAUUGCCUUCGAUACUGAAGAUCUUGAGACCGGUAGAGGUAAGUGGAACUGCGAGUGUAGAGGUGAAAUUCGUAGAUAUUCGCAAGAACACCAGUGGCGAAGGCGGCUUACUGGACCGGUUCUGACGCUGAGGCGCGAAAGCGUGGGGAGCAAACAGGAUUAGAUACCCUAGUAGUCC
rnacentral:rRNA from 1 species